rfam:Brachypodium distachyon strain Bd21 chromosome 1, whole genome shotgun sequence.
CUCAUACUCCCUCCAUCCCAUAUUAAGUGACAUUUUAUUACAUGUAUCUAGACUCUUUUAGGCAUAGAUACAUCCAUAUUUGAGCAAAUUUGAGUCACUUAAUGUGGGACGGAGGGAGUAGAAC